AUACGGAGGGGGCAAGCGUUAUUCGGAAUUAUUGGGCGUAAAGGGCGCGUAGGCGGCAUGGCAAGUCAGGGGUGAAAUCCCUCGGCUCAACCGAGGAACUGCCUCUGAAACUGUCUAGCUUGAGGCCGGGAGAGGGUAGUGGAAUUCCCAGUGUAGCGGUGAAAUGCGUAGAUAUUGGGAGGAACACCGGUGGCGAAGGCGGCUACCUGGACCGGUUCUGACGCUGAGGCGCGAAAGUGUGGGGAGCAAACAGGAUUAGAAACCCCAGUAGUCC
rnacentral:rRNA from 1 species